UGACCUCGUGAGUGGAGAGACCUACCCGCCAAAUUUAGCAUAUUAAUAAGCGGAGGAAAAGAAACCAAACAGGGAUUCCCUUAGUAAGGGCGACUGAACCGGGAAGAGCCCAGCGCAAAACCCUCGUGUCCUAACCGGCACGAGGGGUGUUGCGUUUCGGAGGGUCCAGCACGCCGUGCCAUACCGCUAAGUUAGAGCAUGAAUGCAGCCCACUGCCCAUGGAGGGUGUCAGGCCGUUUUGGCGGGCGCCCGCGAGGGUAAAGAUGGCACGGUCGGAAAGGGCUCUCCGUAGAGUCGGGUUGCUUGAUAGUGCAGCCCAAAGCAGGUGGUAAACUCCAUCUAAGGCUAAUAUGCCCACGAGACCGAUAGCGAACAAGUACCGUGAGGGAAAGUUGAAAAGAACUUUGAAGAGAGAGUUCAAGAGUACGUAAAAACCGUUAAGAGCCAAACGGAUGGAACCUUGAAGGUCGAACCGGGGAUUCAGGCGGCCGACCUCGGCUGGGUGCGGGUCUCUCUGUCUGUCCGCCGAUUCAGUCGGAAGCAGCGACCACGAAUGCUUGGGCGUGCCUGCACCCACGCUGGCGUCGGCGGCGAUAUUCCCUCGUUGUAGGGCGCCGCGACCCGUUGCUGGGGACGUCGAAGGCCCGGACGGACUGGUAGCCUUGAGUCUUCUUCCUUCUCCUUUUCUCCUUCUUCCGCUUGCCUACCGGCAGCGGCGGGUGAGGAGAAUACACGGGAGGAGGAGGAGUAGGGGAUUGGCGAAACCGCCGGUGAUCCUGGCGGUCCUGCGACGGUCGCAAAGACGAGCCAGCCCGUGCAAGCGGCUGUCUCUCGCGGCGUGCAAAGAGAUCGGUGAAACCAUCCGACCCGUCUUGAAACACGGACCAAGGAGUCUAACAUGUGUGCGAGUCAGUGGGCGCACUAAACCCAAAGGCGUAAUGAAAGUGACAGGCCUGGCGUGUGCACCUUUCAGUGGUGCAUGGGCUGGAGCCGGGGCCGAUCCCCUCGCCGGGUGCUGACUCUGCUGCCUCCACCUACCAUCCGGCCCCAAGACGGGUAAGCACUGGUCGAGUUUUCCCUUUGCCCCUGUCGACAAGGUGGUGCGGCUUAAGGAGGGUGCUGGCUGCAGGGAAUGCGAUGGCGUGAAAUAUCCUCCAGCCUGCAUGUAUGUAUGUUGUGCAGGAAGGGAAGGGGCGCAGGCCGGGACUUGCUGUGAUGUCGCCCUCGUCACCGGCCGUCGCCGUCGUCGCGAGACGUGCGUGCGAGUGUGUGUGUGGCGGCAGGCAGGGAGCAGCAAGUACCAAGAGCAGACAUGUUGGGACCCGAAAGAUGGUGAACUUUUGCCUGGCCAGGAUGAAGCCAGAGGAAACUCUGGUGGAGGUCCGUAGCGAUUCUGACGUGCAAAUCGUCGUCUGAGCUGGGCUAGGGGGAAGACUAAAACGUUCUUUUGUAGUGGUUUUUUCCCUCUAACGGAAUCGAUCUUAGCUGCAUGCAAACUAAUCGAAUCAUCUAGGGGAGCUGGGUUCCCUCUGAAGUUUCCCCCAGGAUAGCUGGAAAUCUCAGGAUUAAUUUUCAUCCGGUAAAGCGAAGAUUAAGGUGUUGGGAAAGAAACGUCCUAACCUAUUCUCAAACUUUAAAAUGGGGGUGAGAUGCCGAGCUUGCUUGAAGAAUAAUGAAAGCUUGGCAACUAAUAUGAGUACCUAGUGGGCCAUUUUUGGUAAGCAGAACUGGCGCCUGUGGGAUGAACCAACGUCGAGUUAAGGGGCCUAAACAAUGCUCAUUCCCGGAAUCACCAAAGCGUGGUUGCUUAGACGCAGGACGGUGGCCCUGGAAGUUUGGGAUCCGCUAAGGAGUGUGUAACAACUCACUGCGAAGAACUAGCCUUAAAAUGGCAUGGCGCUCAAGCAUUCUCCCGAUACUCGACCGCCGGGGGACUAGCGGCCACGCUCUGUCUCAGAGGCGAGGAGGUCUCGAAGCCCCGGCGAGUAAGAGGGUCGCGGUGGUGAGCGUUGAAGGGUUUCGGCGUGGGCCGGCCUGGAGCCGCCACCGGGUGCAGAUCUUGGUGGUAGUAGCAAAUAUCGAGAGAGGAGCCCUUGAAGGCCGAAGCGGAGCAGGGUUCCAUGUGAACAUCAGUUGGACAUGGGUUAGUCGCUCCUAAGCCCAAGGCUAAGGCCUGAUCCCACGCCAGUGGGCAAAGACAUGAAGGCUGGCAGCAGCUGCAGCAGCAGCAGCAACAGCAGCAGAACGGCUGGAUCCGUUUGUUGUUGCUGCUCUCCGCAGCUGCAGAUGAAGAAGAAGAAGCAUUCGGCGAAAGGCAUAGAAAUGAUUAUUAAAAGCCUCCUCGCUACAGGCUUGACAAGGCCGCCAGUUGCUUCGGGAUCAGUGGCGAAAGGGAAUACGGUACUUAUUCCGUAACCAGGACUCGGAUACCAGGCAGGGAGGGCUGGGUGCUUUAAAUCAGCCAGCCAGCCGCCCUGCCAGUAUGGAGGAUCCCGGAACGGGAACCUGCUCGCGCCCACCGGCGGUGGUCCGGGAAAGAGUUUUCUUUUCUGUUUAAGGCGCCGUGACCCUCAAAGCCCUCCGCUGUGAGAGAGGGUGUUGGUAAACACGGUGUGCCGUAGAGCGCCGCGGUUCUUGCGGCGUCCCGAGCGCCACCGCCGGUCCGUGAAAACGCGAGGCUGGUCCAAACUCCGGCUGAGUCGGGACCACUGUUGCUGCUUGCUCAGUGCCCGCUAAUGGCCCCCUAUUUCGGUCCUGUGCGUACCCAUAUCCGCAUCAGGUCUCCAAGGUAAGCAGCCUCUGGACGAUAGAUUAAGUAGGUAAGGGAAGUCGGCAAGUUAGAUCCGUAACUUCGGGAUAAGGAUUGGCUCUGAGGGUCGGGCCAGUCGGGCCUGUGCAGGAAGCGGGCCUGGGCUCGGGCGCAGGACUGGGCGAGGCGAAGGAACAUCAGGCAGUCUUCAGUCAGUCAGUUAGUCAGUCAGCCAGUCAGAGGUGUGUGUCACAACAGCUUCUGCUGCUCCUGCUGCUGCUGCUGCUGCGGCUGCCUCCCGAACCGAGGGUCGGACCGGCGUGUCUCCGUGUCCCUUCCGUGGAAUGCGCUAGGCUGCGUGGGCGUGUGUAGUCCUCGGGUGGGUGAGGGCGGGGAGGUGAUGGGCGAUGGCAACGGCGACAUAAAGCCGCCAGCAGCAGCCUGUCUAACAACCUCCUUAGCCUCCUCCUGCUCUCCUGGCUCACUGAAAGAAGCCCACCUCGGCUGGCGCCCAACGAUCAGCUCAGAACUGGCACGGACAAGGGGAAUCCGACUGUCUAAUUAAAACAAAGCAUCGCGAAGGUCACAGAUGGAUGUUGACGCGAUGUGAUUUCUGCCCAGUGCUCUGAAUGUCAAAGUGAAGCGAUUCAACCAAGCGCGGGGUAAACGGCGGGGAGUAACUAUGACUCUCUUAAGGUAGCCAAAUGCCUCGUCAUCUAAUUAGUGACGCGCAUGAAUGGAUUAACGAGAUUCCCACUGUCCCUAUCUACUAUCUAGCGAACCCACAGGCAGGGGAACGGGCCUGCACCAAACAGCGGGGAAAGAAGACCCUGUUGAGCUUGACUCUAGUCUGAUUUUGUAGAGAGACAUCAGAGGUGUAGCAUAAGUGGGAGGUGGCUCUGCCUAGCGUAGGGCGGCCGUCAAUGAAAUACCACUACUCAGAUCGUUUCUUUACUUACUCGGUGAGACGGAAUCGGAGUCUUCCCAUGCGGGAGUGCCUCCUCUUUCUAGCCCAAAGCGGCGAAAGUGGACGGUUGGUAGGACGGACGGAUGGACGGCGGCUGGAUGACCGCGGGGAGUUACUUCUUUGGCUAGUACUCCACCUCUCCUCCUGCUCCACUUCCAAGCCCGGGCGUUCGCGCCCGCCGCGAUCCGCUCGAGGACAUAAUCAGGUGGGGAGUUUUGACUGGGGCGGUACAUCUGUCAAAUGAUAACGCAGUUGUCCUAAGGCCAGCCAGCGUGCGACAGAAACCUCGGGGCGUAGAGCAAAGAGCAAAUGUGGCUUGAUCCGGAUUCUCAGUACGAUACGGACUGCUGAAAGCAAGGUCUAUCGAUCUUUUGACUUUAAGAGUUUUAAGCAAGAGGUGUCAAGAAAAAAGUUACCACAGGAUAAAACUGGCUUGUGGCGGCCAAGCGUUCAUAGCGAGGGUCGCUUUUUUGAUCCUUCGAUGUCGGGCUCUUCCUAUCAUUGUGAAGCAGAAUUCCACCAAGCGUUGGAUUGUUCACCCACCAAUAGGGAAGUGAGCAGGGUUAGACCGUCGUGAGACAGGUUAGUUUUACCCUACUGUUAAAAGUGUGUCGUUUGCGACAGGCAGUCCGUCAGUACGAGAGGAACGGCAGGUCCGGACCAAUGUACCGCUCUUGGUCGAGCGGCCAGUGGAGCGAGGAUACGGUCCGUGGAUUUAUGCCUGAAAGCCUCAAGGCAGCAUCCCGCUGGAGAAGCAACGAUAUGGACGUACGGACUGCGUUGGGACGGUCACACUUGAGACGUGCGGUGCCGCUCUGUCGGCUCGCAGAAUGGACCCAAGCAAGGUUAGCGGGGGAGCUGCGAUGAUGGAAUUUUAGUGCGGCUUCCCAUUCCAAAUACAGAACACCCGAAUGCCGAUGGCCGUACGAAUCGCUUGUAGACGACUUGCGUUACCGGCAGGGCGUUUUAGGUGCGAGCAGCAUCCUCACUGCGAACACUAAGACUGCUCCCUCAACGCUGGAGAUUCGU